rnacentral:rRNA from 1 species
AGUGAACGCUGGCGGUAGGCCUAACACAUGCAAGUCGAACGGCAGCACAGUAAGAGCUUGCUCUUACGGGUGGCGAGUGGCGGACGGGUGAGGAAUACACCGGAAUCUACUUUUUCGUGGGGGAUAACGUAGGGAAACUUACGCUAAUACCGCAUACGACCUACGGGUGAAAGCAGGGGAUCUUCGGACCUUGCGCGAUUGAAUGAGCCGAUGUCGGAUUAGCUAGUUGGCGGGGUAAAGGCCCACCAAGGCGACGAUCCGUAGCUGGUCUGGGAGGAUGAUCAGCCACACUGGAACUGAGACACGGUCCAGACUCCUACGGGAGGCAGCAGUGGGGAAUAUUGGACAAUGGGCGCAAGCCUGAUCCAGCCAUACCGCGUGGGUGAAGAAGGCCUUCGGGUUGUAAAGCCCUUUUGUUGGGAAAGAAAAGCAGCAGGUUAAUACCCCGCUGUUCUGACGGUACCCAAAGAAUAAGCACCGGCUAACUUCGUG